rnacentral:tRNA from 1 species
GGCCCCAUCGUCUAGUGGUUAGGACUCAGGAUUUUCAUUCCUGCAACAGGGGUUCAACUCCCCUUGGGGUCA